CCUACGGGUGGCUGCAGUGGGGAAUAUUGGACAAUGGGGGGAACCCUGAUCCAGCCAUGCCGCGUGUGUGAAGAAGGCCCUCGGGUUGUAAAGCACUUUCAGUGAGGAAGAACGCCUGGUGGUUAAUACCCAUCAGGAAAGACAUCACUCACAGAAGAAGCACCGGCUAACUCCGUGCCAGCAGCCGCGGUAAUACGGAGGGUGCGAGCGUUAAUCGGAAUUACUGGGCGUAAAGCGCGCGUAGGUGGCUUGAUAAGCCGGUUGUGAAAGCCCCGGGCUCAACCUGGGAACGGCAUCCGGAACUGUCAAGCUAGAGUGCAGGAGAGGAAGGUAGAAUUCCCGGUGUAGCGGUGAGAUGCGUAGAGAUCGGGAGGAAUACCAGUGGCGAAGGCGGCCUUCUGGACUGACACUGACACUGAGGUGCGAAAGCGUGGGUAGCAAACAGGAUUAGAUAUCCCGGUAGUC
rnacentral:rRNA from 1 species